AUUUGCAGGGCUCAAACAUCUCUCCUCUUCAACUUGUCUAGAAAAGUCUGACCCUAGUUACUUGUCCUGAAAGUUACUCUUCAGAAGUUGAAUAUUUAUUUUGCAUGACAUUUUCUGCCUGUCUCGCAUCCAAGGACAAGGAAGCCUUAUUAAAAACACAAUAGCCUAACCAUUUUUCCUUUCUUUUCUCAGAUCCUUCUCCACCAUCAGGUCCAUCGCUGGCAUUUGCGUAUUUGGCAGUCCCCUUUGUGAUUCUGAUGAUUCUCCUCGUUUUCUACUGUGGACAGAAAAAGACUGGUAGUUAUGUGAUGGGUUUUGAGGAUACUGUGAUGCUUAUGUGAAUAAUAUUGUGUGUGCCUUUUCAGCCUUUGGCUCUCUUUUUCUCCUCUGUGGAAGCAGUGAAAUGCCAGCAGGAUUCUGAGCCAGAAGAACAGGAGGAGGAGGAACUGCGUGAUCUUGAAACAGGGGAGCCCCAAACAGCAGUUUUGCAGGAACACAACCAAUCUGGCAGAGUCAGGGAGAGACAGCCCAUCCUCUCUUUGAAAGCAGAGAGACAGCGGUGGAGCAGAGGACACAGCCAUUGGCCUUCGAGGGACGCCGGCCGAGCAUGAAAUUUGCUGCUUUGAUAACAGCCUGUCUGCGGAUCCUCCUUUGGAGAUCAGUCCAUGCAGAGAUCCCACCUGCAGCAAUUCUUUCCUUGGAUCCCCAGCACCCCGUCUACAUCAAAGGUGAAAAGGUGAUUCUCACUUGUUCGGCUCCUGUUGGCCCGAAGGUGGCAGGAUAUACGUUCUUCAAAGAACAGCAAGACCAGACCUUCAAGGAGUUGCCCAAUAGUGGAAUGGGGCCUUAUGAGAUGUUCCGUGUCAGUGAAGAUACUGUUGGGAAUUACAGCUGUGUUUACUGGAUCAUGCCCUCAGGACAGGAAAUCUGGUCCGCACAGAGCAACCUUGUCUCUGUAGCCAUGGCAGAUCCCCCUCCUUUCCCGGUGCUCAAAGUGGAUCCUCCGUCUGGAGUGGUGAACGAAGGGAGCUCCCUGCGCCUCACUUGCUUGGCCAUGGGACCAUGA
rnacentral:lncRNA from 1 species